rnacentral:rRNA from 1 species
GACGAACGCUGGCGGCGUGCUUAACACAUGCAAGUCGAACGGUAAGGCCUGCUUUCCCUUGUGGAUUGCGGGUACUCGAGUGGCGAACGGGUGAGUAACACGUGAGUGAUCUGCCCCCAACUUGGGUAUAAGCCUGGGAAACUGGGUCUAAUUCCCGAUAGGACUGCAGGGUGGUGCCUGUGGUGGAAAACGAUUUUCUAGUGGUUGGGGAUGAGCUCGCGGCCUAUCAGCUUGUUGGUGGGGUAAUGGCCUACCAAGGCGGCGACGGGUAGCCGGCCUGAGAGGGUGGACGGCCACAUUGGGACUGAGAUACGGCCCAGACUCCUACGGGAGGCAGCAGUGGGGAAUAUUGCACAAUGGGCGGAAGCCUGAUGCAGCGACGCCGCGUGGGGGAUGACGGCCUUCGGGUUGUAAACUCCUUUCGACCGCGAGGAAGCCACCUGGUUGGAAGGGUGGUGACGGUAGUGGUAGAAGAAGCACCGGCUAACUACGUG